UACGGAGGGUGCAAGCGUUAAUCGGAAUUACUGGGCGUAAAGCGUGCGUAGGCGGUUCGUUAAGUCUGUUGUGAAAGCCCCGGGCUCAACCUGGGAAUGGCAAUGGAUACUGGCGAGCUAGAGUGUGUCAGAGGAUGGUGGAAUUCCCGGUGUAGCGGUGAAAUGCGUAGAGAUCGGGAGGAACAUCAGUGGCGAAGGCGGCCAUCUGGGACAACACUGACGCUGAGGCACGAAAGCGUGGGGAGCAAA
rnacentral:rRNA from 1 species